rnacentral:rRNA from 1 species
AGCGAACGCUGGCGGCAGGCCUAAUACAUGCAAGUCGAACGAAGCCUUCGGGCUUAGUGGCGGACGGGUGAGUAACACGUGGGAACGUACCCUUUGGUUCGGAACAACUCAGGGAAACUUGAGCUAAUACCGAAUGUGCCCCCAUCCUUAACAAGAUGGGUGGGAAAGNUUUANCGCCAUUGGAGCGGCCCGCGUCUGAUUAGCUAGUUGGUGAGGUAAAGGCCCA